GACGAACGCUGGCGGCGUGCCUAACACAUGCAAGUCGAACGAGGUCCAUGAGAGCUUGCUCUCAGAAAGACCUAGUGGCGAACGGGUGAGUAACACGUGAGAAACCUGCCUCGGAGUGGGGAAUAACUCGGGGAAACUCGAGCUAAUACCGCAUAUCUUCACAUGAUCGCAUGGUCGAGUGAAGAAAGAAUUUCGCUCUGAGGAGGGUCUCGCGGCCUAUCAGCUUGUUGGUGGGGUAACGGCCCACCAAGGCAACGACGGGUAGCUGGUUUGAGAGAACGAUUAGCCACACUGGGACUGAGACACGGCCCAGACUCCUACGGGAGGCAGCAGUGGGGAAUCUUGCGCAAUGGGCGAAAGCCUGACGCAGCAACGCCGCGUGCGGGAUGACGGCCUCGUGUUGUAAACGCUUUCAGCAGGGACGAAAAUAGACGGUACCUGCAGAAGAAGCCCGGCUAACUACGUGCCAGCAGCCG
rnacentral:rRNA from 1 species